UUGGCGGCGGGGUCGAUUUCGCGGGUCACCACCAGAUAGUCACGCAGCGCGAGGGCGUGCAGGUGCUC
rnacentral:sRNA from 1 species